UACGUAGGGGGCGAGCGUUGUCCGGAUUUAUUGGGCGUAAAGAGCUCGUAGGCGGCUGUUCGAGUCGGGUGUGAAAUCCUGAGGCUUAACCUUGGGUCUGCAUUCGAUACCGGGCGGCUUGAGUCUGGUAGGGGGAUCUGGAAUUCCUGGUGUAGCGGUGGAAUGCGCAGAUAUCAGGAGGAACACCGGUGGCGAAGGCGGAUCUCUGGGCCUUACCUGACGCUGAGGCGCGAAAGCUAGGGGAGCAAACAGG
rnacentral:rRNA from 1 species